rnacentral:rRNA from 1 species
GGUAACGAUAACUAAGAGGAAACACCUGUACCCAUGCCGAACACAGCAGUUAAGCUCUUAUGUGCCGAAGAUACUUGCGGGGUUCCCUGCUGGAAAAAUAGGUUGUUGCCAG